rnacentral:rRNA from 1 species
UACGUAGGGUGCAAGCGUUAAUCGGAAUUACUGGGCGUAAAGCGUGCGCAGGCGGUUUUGUAAGUCUGUCGUGAAAUCCCCGGGCUCAACCUGGGAAUUGCGAUGGAGACUGCAAGGCUAGAAUCUGGCAGAGGGGGGUAGAAUUCCACGUGAAGCAGUGAAAUGCGUAGAGAUGUGGAGGAACACCGAUGGCGAAGGCAGCCCCCUGGGUCAAGAUUGACGCUCAUGCACGAAAGCGUGGGGAGCAAACAGG